rnacentral:miRNA from 9 species
AGCUCUUCAUUGGGUCAGCUAUC